rnacentral:rRNA from 1 species
AUUGAACGCUGGCGGCAGGCCUAACACAUGCAAGUCGAACGAGUGGCGGACGGGUGAGUAAUGUCUGGGAAACUGCCCGAUGGAGGGGGAUAACUACUGGAAAGGUAGCUAAUACCGCAUACUAUUGGAGCGGCCGAUAUCUGAUGAGCUAGUGGGUGGGGUAACGGCUCACCAAGGCGACGAUCCGUAGCUGGUUUGUGAGGACGACCAGCAACACAGGGACUGAGACACGGCCCAGACUCCGACGAGAGGCAGCAGGGGGGAAUUUUGGACAAUGGGGGAAACCCUACUCCAGCCAUCCCGCGUGUGCAAUGAAGGCCUUCGGGUUGUAAAGCACUUUUGGCAGGAAAGCGUUACUCGCAGAAGAAGCACCGGCUAACUCCGUGCCAGCAGCCGCGGUAAUUC